GUGCCUCCCAGGAUUCUCUGGAGCUCUCUGCAACCAAGCUAGCAAGUGGCAGAAACAAAUUCUGAUUCCGACAUGCAUGCUGAAGGGAUGAAAAGUGAAACAAGCACAGAGAUCUGCAUCAGAAGUGGCACCAUGUGGUCUGUGCCGAGUGCCAAGGGUAAAGGCAGAGAAUGCUGUGGGAGUGCAGAGGAGCUGGCUCUGGCUGGAGAUGGCAACUUCCAAGCCCUUCUCCCCGUCAUAUUCAGGCCACCAUCCCUAAUCCCUCCCCAUAUGCUUUCCUGACUUGACCUCAGAAUCCUUCACAAUACCGACUCCAAGAACUGCUACCACUCAGCAGGAGUUGAAAAGAGAUAUAAAGCUUAUUUGCAUUGGUGUUCCACCCUACCAGCUCUUUGUGGGGGAAAAACCCUGAUCUGUAACAUCUGCAGAUUUUUAAAAUAUAAAUAUUCCUACC
rnacentral:lncRNA from 10 species